ACUUGCCAUGGUGACGGCGGCGGCGGCGGCUGCUGCUGUUGCUGCUUCGACCGGUGGUGGCAGUCUCGACGCGAGUAUCUCUUGCGCCGGCGGCAGUCUCGACGCGAGUAUCUCUUUGCGGCGGCGGCGGCUGCUUGCUUCUGUUGACUGGCGGCGACGAGCAGCUGUGACAUACUGACAUCCAAGCGACAACCGUCUUCGAUCUACGACCGGGGGUGAUGACCAACUUUGAUUGGCGCGUGGCAAGCUAGUGACCAUGUCGCCUUAUCCCAAUUGGAGCAGACAGGACUGUGGCAUCUCUGAACUCUGAUGCAGCGUGAGCCUGCAGCCUCUUCUUCUGAUUCAGAGGAUAAUCAAGAUGCUAACACUCGAGUGCAUAUGAAAUCUUCUCAUACUGAAGAUGGUUAGAUGAGUACAGAUAACUAUUCAAAUGCUGAAAUACAUGUGUGAUAUAUAUCAGACUAUCAGUCUAGCUUUGAAGUAUCUGUUAGUUGGUAAUUA